CUUUUGAAAUAUCUACUGAAGUGCUGUCAUUCCCUAUUCCACUUUAUGUGAGCUGUUGCAGGCACGUUUUACCCACCGAGGCAUAGCACAGUGAUGCUGUGCCUUGAUCCUUUGCAGAGGCAUGCUAUGCUGUGCGGGAGGAGCUCCUUCUGCCUCUCUUCAGCCUCGGCCAGGCAGAGGACAUGAGGACUGACCCAGCCUGGGGAUGCAAGGACCCAGUACGUACCCCAUGAGAGGUUGGCCCCUCCAAAGUCCCUGCGGGAGCAUCGCCUCCCCACCGCUGCCCCGAGCACCAAGCUGCCCCCCAGCCCGCCUUGCUGGGCUUCCCCGAGGUGGUGCCAGAGCAGAGACUGCGGCCCCAGCUGUGGGCUGGAGGCUGGCCAGCGUGGAAGAAGCUGAUGACCCUGAGGACAGAUUUUUUAAAAAGCUUGAAAAGAUCUUGGAGCACAAGACCUGUUGCAAGGCAGAUUGCAAGGACUAUGACACACCCACUGUCCCAGAGGACUGACUAAAAGCUGAAGGAACAGCUGGUCUGCGUGCUGACCAGAGGAUCUGGGCCUCACAUCACUGUGUGUGAUCUUCUCAGGUUUUCCAGAAUGGAGAGAAGGCUCCUGGUACACAGCUCCACCACCCAACAACUCGCACCAGGCAGCACAGACCUGAGGAAUUUGUGAACUACUGCCACCAUGCAGAUGGGAGAAGGGCUGAAAGAUGAAUGUACAAUUAUUCUGCAGAAAUCCCUCAAAAUCAUAAUGGGCAUAAUUCACAAUAAAUUCCAGCUCCGCUCUGAACCCUGAACCCAGUAAUUAAAUGAUCUCUCCAUUUUAAAAAGAAGUCUAUACCCAUUGGGUACUUUAAAUAAUACCAUAAGUAAUGUAAAAUAAUUAUCUUAAAAAUGCAGCUGUGCUGCUAUUAGUUUUCUCCCCAGAAGUGUUUCAGGUUAGCUAGGAUGGC